CAGCCGCCGCGGUAAUACGUAGGGUGCAAGCGUUAAUCGGAAUUACCGGGCGUAAAGCGUGCGCAGGCGGUCCGCUAAGACAGAUGUGAAAUCCCCGGGCUUAACCUGGGAACUGCAUUUGUGACUGGCGGGCUAGAGUAUGGCAGAGGGGGGUAGAAUUCCACGUGUAGCAGUGAAAUGCGUAGAGAUGUGGAGGAAUACCGAUGGCGAAGGCAGCCCCCUGGGCCAAUACUGACGCUCAUGCACGAAAGCGUGGGGAGCAAACAGGAUUAGAUACCCCUGUAGUCCCUGUCUCUUAUAC
rnacentral:rRNA from 1 species